rnacentral:rRNA from 1 species
AACGAACGCUGGCGGCAGGCUUAACACAUGCAAGUCGAACGGGCAUAGCAAUAUGUCAGUGGCAGACGGGUGAGUAACGCGUGGGAACGUACCCUUUACUACGGAAUAACGCAUGGAAACGUGUGCUAAUACCGUAUGUGCCCUUCGGGGAAAGAUUUGUCGGUAAAGGAUCGGCCCGCGUUGGAUUAGCUAGUUGGUGGGGGUAAAAGGCCCUACCCAAGGCGACGAUCCAUAGCUGGUCUGAGAGGAUGAUCAGCCACAUUGGGACUGAGACACGGCCCAAACUCCUACGGGAGGCAGCAGUGGGAAUAUUGGACAAUGGGCGCAAGCCUGAUCCAGCCAUGCCGCGUGAGUGAUGAAGGCCCUAGGGUUGUAAAGCUCUUUCACCGGUGAAGAUAAUGACGGUAAACCGGAGAAGAAGCCCCGGCUAACUUCGUGCCAGCAGCCGCGGUAAUACGAAGGGGGCUAGCGUUGUUCGGAAUUACUGGGCGUAAAGCGCACGUAGGCGGGUAUUUAAGUCAGGGGUGAAAUCCCGGAGCUCAACUCCGGAACUGCCUUUGAUACUGGGUACCUAGAGUAUGGAAGAGGUAAGUGGAAUUCCGAGUGUAGAGGUGAAAUUCGUAGAUAUUCGGAGGAACACCAGUGGCGAAGGCGGCUUACUGGUCCAUUACUGACGCUGAGGUGCGAAAGCGUGGGGAGCAAAC